ensembl:lncRNA
CCGGUAAGUGGCGCCUGAACCAGGCUCCCAGUAAGAGCGCCGAGCACAAUUCCUGACUCUAGACUAGAAGCUGAAGGAGGACAGAUCGCUGUGUGUCCACCACCUGGGACAGCACCUGGGCGUGCAGAAUAAUGGAUGAACAUUCAUGUUUUCACCUGUCUACAAAAGAAAUCUGAUAGUUGGAAAACUAAGGAAGAAUACAACAGUCAUGAUUAUUUCAAAAAGAAAUGAGCCAUACCUAUAUUUGAAUCAUCAUGCAAAAGAAAACAAUGAAACAAAAUGAAAGAUGAACCAAAAAUCUAUGUGCUCUUCCAAGCAUGUCUUGUUGGCUCAGUCUUGACAAAGAUGGGAACAAAGGGUGUGGGGGAUUGGAAAAUUCACAGAAGGGUGUGUAAGGCAGCAGGCAGGCAUCGGAGUGCCUACUACCUCCUCACAUCAUGA